rnacentral:rRNA from 1 species
GCAUAUCAAUAAGCGGAGGAAAAGAAACUAACAAGGAUUCCCUUAGUAACGGCGAGUGAAGCGGGAAGAGCUCAAAUUUGAAAUCUGACAUUAUAGCAGUGUCCGAGUUGUAAGCUAGAGAGGUGUUUUCGGUAGGCGCCCGGGUUUAAGUCUCUUGGAAUGGGGCAUCAUAGAGGGUGAGAAUCCCGUCUUUGAUUCGGAGCAGUCUACUAUGUGAUACAUCUUCAAAGAGUCGGUUUGUUUGGGAAUGCAGACCAAAAUGGGUGGUAAAUUCCAUCUAAAGCUAAAUAUAGGCGAGAGACCGAUAGCGAACAAGUACCGUGAGGGAAAGAUGAAAAGAACUUUGAAAAGAGAGUUAAACAGUACGUGAAAUUGUUGAAAGGGAAACGUUUGGAAUUAGUCAUGUCGGCAAGAAAUCAGCCUGGCUUUUGAGCCGGGUGCACUUUCUUGUAGGCAGGUCAGCGUCAGUUUUGGUUGCCAGAAAAAAGUUGAGAGAAUGUGGCUCGCUUCGGUGAGUGUUAUAGCUCUUGGCCAAUAUGGUGACUGGGACUGAGGUCUGCAGCCAACCGGUUUACCGUCAGGGGACUUCGUGUGCUAGUGGUGGUCUCUUUAUGAACAGCUUGCUGAUCAUGAUUUGAUAUGCUGCUACUCGCGCGUCUGUCUCUCUUCUUGGCUUAGGUCGCUGACUUAAUGAUUCCAAAUGACCCGUCUUGAAACACGGACCAAGGAGUCUAACAUGUCUGCGAGUAUUUGGGUGGUAAACCCGAAUGCGUAAUGAAAGUGAAUGCAGGUGGGAUCCUUUACGGGAGCACCAUCGACCGAUCUGGAUAUUUUUUGAUAGAUUUGAGUAUGAGCAGAUAUGCUGGGACCCGAAAGAUGGUGAACUAUGCCUGAAUAGGGUGAAGCCAGAGGAAACUCUGGUGGAGGCUCGUAGCGAUUCUGACGUGCA